rnacentral:rRNA from 1 species
AAUACGUUCCCGGGCCUUGUACACACCGCCCGUCACACCACGAAAGUCGGUAACACCCGAAAGCCGGUGGCCCAACCCGUAAGGGAGGGAGCCGUCGAAGGUGGGAUCGGUGAUUGGGGUG